CUCAGAGCUUUGCUCAAGGCCGAGCCGGCGCCUUCUCACCUCAGUCUCUCGCUUUCCUUGCAGGCUCCAGCUGAAGGCGAGGCAAAGGAGGAGCCAAAGAGAAGGUCAGCUAGACUAUCCGCUAAACCUGCUCCGCCUAAACCGGAGCCAAAGCCCAAAAAGGCAGCACCUAAGAAAGAAAAGGCGGCAAAUGAUAAAAAGGAGGACAAAAAGGCAGCAACAAAAGGGAAGAAAGGAGCCAAAGGCAAAGAUGAAACUAAACAAGAGGAUGCUAAAGAAGAAAACCACUCUGAAAACGGAGAUACCAAAACUAAUGAGGCACCAGCUGCUGAAGCAUCUGAUGAUAAGGAAGCCAAGUCCGAGUAAUGUUAACCCUGCCCUAUAUCUCCAUCAUUUGGUAUCCGUACCUCCAUGCUGUAUUGUUAACAGAGAGGAAUAUUUUUAUCAACUAUUUUAUAAAUGCAGGUUUUUUUAGCAUGAAUUUAAUUAUGGAACAUCUUCAUCUCGGUUACUUGGGAAUUAAAUCCCUAACAAACAAAACAAAACAAAACAAACAAAAAAAAAAUCAUUGUUUUUAAAUUUUGUGAUUGUAAUAGUUUGUAUGGUACAUGGAAAGAAUAAGUGGUGGUAGCUUUUGACUUCUGUCAGUGUGUCCCUUUUUGUGUAAGUCAUGCUUACAGACUUCAGAUUUUAAUUUUUCCCUUGUAUGUGUUGUAUGGUUUCUUAAAGUGGGGAGGUCUCAAAACAAAUAACCGUGUUAAACAUUCCAGUGGUUCUGUGGGUUGCUUUUAUAAAGAAGGUGAGCUAUUUUCAUGAAAAACCUAAGAGCUGGAAAUCUGUUGUUUCCCAAAUGUAAUUUUAUUUUGUCAGUUUUGAAAAAAAAAAAAUAAAGAAAUAAAAAAGUGUAAUCAUGUUUUUAAAUGAAAUACAAAACAUUUCUUUUAAAAGGGCAGGUUGGUUGUAUGUACCCACUGUUAGGAAUUUUGCUGGAUUUAUCUUAAUAAAAAAGACUCCUCAAAA